rnacentral:rRNA from 2 species
GAGUAACACGUGGGAAACCUACCUCUUAGCAGGGGAUAACAUUUGGAAACAGAUGCUAAUACCGUAUAACAAUGACAACCGCAGGUUGUUAUUUAAAAAUGGUUCUGCUAUCACUAAGAGAUGGUCCCGCGGUGCAUUAGCUAGUUGGUAAGGUAAUGGCUUACCAAGGGAUGAUGCAUAGCCRAGUUGAGAGACUGAUCGGCCACAAUGGGACUGAGACACGGCCCAUACUCCUACGGGAGGCAGCAGUAGGGAAUCUUCCACAAUGGGCGAAAGCCUGAUGGAGCAACGCCGCGUGUGUGAUGAAGGGUUUCGGCUCGUAAAACACUGUUGUAAGA